GAAUAUUGGACAAUGGGCGGAAGCCUGAUCCAGCCAUCCCGCGUGCAGGAAGGAGGCCCUCUGGGUCGUAAACUGCUUUUGGCGGGGGAGAAACGCACGGUUUUGACCGUGCCUGACGGUACCCGCCGAAUAAGCACCGGCUAACUCCGUGCCAGCAGCCGCGGUAAUACGGAGGGUGCGAGCGUUAUCCGGAAUCACUGGGUUUAAAGGGUGCGUAGGCGGCCGGCUAAGUCAGGGGUGAAAUCCCGCCGCUCAACGGUGGAACUGCCCUUGAUACUGGCCGGCUCGAAUGGGCGCGAGGCGGGCGGAACGUGGCAUGUAGCGGUGAAAUGCUUAGAUAUGCCACAGAACACCGAUUGCGAAGGCAGCCCGCCAGAGCUCUAUUGACGCUGAGGCACGAAAGCGUGGGGAGCGAACAGG
rnacentral:rRNA from 1 species